AGAGAGAGAGAGGAUUCUUUCAAUCCUCCUUCAAUCUGUACAGUAAUAUCAAUCGGCUAAUUGUGCUACAGAUGCCUGCCCCUCCAAUGGUUGUACUACUACUGAUCGAAGAGGAGGAUUUACCAGGAGCCCUGCUGCGGUUAUGUUGCAUAGUCAAGUACAGACAGAUUGCCUCUUUAAAGAACAUUGGCAGGAAAUUCGACACUCGUGCCCUGAUGUCCAAGAUUCUUUCAGCCUCCUGCAUUCU